GACGAACGCUGGCGGCGUGCUUAACACAUGCAAGUCGAACGGAAAGGCCCUGCUUUUGUGGGGUGCUCGAGUGGCGAACGGGUGAGUAACACGUGAGUAACCUGCCCUUGACUUUGGGAUAACUUCAGGAAACUGGGGCUAAUACCGGAUAGGAGCUCCUGCUGCAUGGUGGGGGUUGGAAAGUUUCGGCGGUUGGGGAUGGACUCGCGGCUUAUCAGCUGGUUGGUGGGGUAGUGGCUGACCAAGGCUAUGACGGGUAGCCGACCUGAGAGGGUGACCGGCCACAUUGGGACUGAGAUAGGGCCCAGAAUCCUACGGGCGGCAGCAGUGGGGAAUAUUGCACAAUGGGGGGAAGCCUGAUGCAGCAACGCCGCGUGCGGGAUGACGGCUUUCGGGUUGUAAACCGCUUUCGACUGUGACGAAGCGUGAGUGACGGUAAUGGGUAAAGAAGCACCGGCUAACUACGUG
rnacentral:rRNA from 1 species